UACGUAGGGUGCGAGCGUUAUUCGGAAUUACUGGGCGUAAAGCGUGCGCAGGCGGUUUUGUAAGCCAGGUGUGAAAUCCCCGGGCUCAACCUGGGAAUGGCAUUUGGGACUGCAAGGCUGGAGUGCGGCAGAGGAGACUGGAAUUCCUGGUGUAGCAGUGAAAUGCGUAGAUAUCAGGAGGAAUACCGAUGGCGAAGGCAGGUCUCUGGGCUGACACUGACGCUCAUGCACGAAAGCGUGGGGAGCAAACAGG
rnacentral:rRNA from 1 species